rnacentral:rRNA from 1 species
CCAAGGAGUGCAACAUGCGUGCGAGUCUGUGGGUGUCAGACCCGUCGGCGCAAUGAGAGUGAAGGCGGACGCCUGGUCCGCCGAGGCAGGAGCCGUCCUUACCGUUCGGCCCACUGUUGACCGAUCCCGUACCACGCUGUGGUGGGAUUCGAGUGAGAGCGUGCCUGUUGCGACCCGAAAGAUGGUGAACUAUGCCUGAAUAGGGCGAAGCCAGAGGAAACUCUGGUGGAAGCUCGCAGCGGUUCUGACAUGCAAAUCGAUCGUCAAAUUUGGGUAUAGGGGCGAAAGACUAAUCGAACCAUCUAGUAGCUGGUUCCCUCCGAAGUUUCCCUCAGGAUAGCUGGAGCCCGGAGCAGUUUUAUCAGGUAAAGCGAAUGAUUAGAGGUCUUGGGGUUGAAACAACCUCAACCUAUUCUCAAACUUUAAAUGGGUAAGAAGUCCGGCUUGCUCGGUUGAAGUCGGACGUUGGAAUGCUGGGGCUCCCAGUGGGCCAUUUUUGGUAAGCAGAACUGGCGAUGCGGGAUGAACCGAACGCCGGGUUAAGGUGCCCGARUCGACGCUCAUCAGAUCCCAUGAAAGGU